ACUAUUUAGAUUUGUAUUGCUCAGAGAUGCUUAGCGUGCAUAAUGAUGUCUGUUUAAAUCUGACGAAGAUGAGUGAUGUAUAUAAUAAGAAGUAAAGAAAAGCGUUUUUGCACACUAUCCCAAAUCCCUAUGCAUAUUUAAAUAACGAGAGGGGCAUUUUUCAAAAUCCCUACAUAUUAACCCUUAACAGGGAACACUUGGCGUGGGCGGCAGCAUGGCUGUGUGACACAAAAGCGAAUACAAAUACACAUAGUCCCGUGCUGUACUGUGAACUUUAUUUGAGAGUUUUGUACAAGGUGGGCCAAAAUUCAGAGUAAGAUUUGACGGGUAAAUAACUCAUUUGUUGUUAAACUUUUUUGUUGCAUGUGCAUAUUAUAAUUGAGUUUUGGGAGAUUUAACUAUUUUUACUCAUUGUUUUUUUUCGUGAAAUUACUCGUGAUGAAUCUCACAAGACUCAACUGUAUGUACCUGCAACAACAACAACAAAAAAAAGUUUACUGACAAAUACGUUUUUUACCUGUCAAAUCCUGCUGUGAAUUUUGGCCCACCCUGUACAGAACCCCAAAAUGAAGGUCACAUCCAUUUGGCAAGUUCAGUUUUAUGUGAAAUAGAAUCUGUUCUAAUGUUAUUAAUGAAUGUGUGCAUGCAUGCAGUAUUUAGACUGCAAGCAUUAUGGUAUUGUUUGUACGGUGUAUUGAUUUAAACACCUUUUAAAAAAAAUAAAAAUUAUUUAUGUUGAAAGGAGGUCAUCACUGUUCGUUGUUUACACAACAGUGAUGCAAUGUUUCCUGUUUGUUGCUUUUUAUUUUUUGUGCCAAACAAGGCCCUCCUUUCACCACUUCAUGCUUUGUGUCCACACUGUCCUUCCCCACACUAUAUGUGACAAUCCUGUGGUUUGAGACUCUUGUAAACCAACCUCUAAGGUGUGUAUGUAUAUAAACCGAUGCAAAUAGACAUUAUUGAAGCAGAGGGUGUGUUUGUUUCGUGCCAUCAUGAGAGUGCUAUCAAUCUUAUUCCUCGUGGGCACCAUGUGUGUUAGGAGUCACUGCGCUCCUACACCCCGCAAGACCCCACUGCCUAUUGUAUUUGUGGGAGAGAUCCAUAACAACAUGAGUGACAUGCAACUGGCUGAGGUGAUAUAUUCAGUGUCUUUCUCUAACUAUGCCCUUGAUCUCCAUUUUAUUUCUAUACCUGCCUCUUUGCUACAUUAUCUGUCACAUCACUUGCCUUUUAAUUUUACCUGUACACUUUAAAACAAAAACAGGGUUAUUCUGUAAGCCGAAAAUUGCCCACAGCCGUCACAUAAUUCUGUGAACGUCCCCUAAUUUGCAAGCUUAGUGUUCAACUGAGCAUUCAAUAACUGUAAUUCAGUGGUUAAUUUAGGGAAAGCAAAAAAGUAGGGGUGAUCCUGCUAGGGAAAAUAAGAAAAGCGCAACCAUAGAUAAUGGUUCAAGUAGCCACUCAAACUUUCAAUGCCAAAUUCAAGCUUUCAGAAUAUCUUCGAAGAGAUCACUCUCUUUUUCAGACUCCGAACAGUCUCAAGACCAUUUAAAGAGAAUAAAAAGUGCAAAAAUUGUAGUGGAAAUGUAAUUUUAAAAAUGUGAAACUUUUUCCAAGUCCACCAGUCUGGUUUCAUAUUUUUGACUGCCAUAACCUGCGGUUUUAAAAUUACAUGUGAGCGAAUAAAAUUGAUGUACACUUUAUUUGAAAUGUGCACUACAAUUUUAAUACGCAAUACGAUCGAAUAUGCUUGUUUUGUCCAGAGCAAUUGGUGCCUGUUAAAAUAUACCAAAGAGAGAGUUCCAAUAUUUAUCAAACACUGAAUAUAUAUAAAAGUGCUUCUCAACUGAUACAGUUAUUGACACAGUGCAAAAUAUUGAUGUCUACAUAGAACAAACAGCAAAUCGACACAUUUGCUAUAAACUAAUUACAGUGAAAGGGUUAAAAAAAAAAAAAAGGGUCGGGAGGCUAGUUCUUAGUCCCCUCUGCUGGCCAAAUUUUCUUUUCAAAAUGUGAAAGGUGAUGAGAGGGUGGCAUAACUGUCCCUGGGAAAGUGGCGAUGGUCAUCUAUAGCAAGGAGGGAGGGGAGUUGACGUCACAUUUUGACAUAGCCACUGCAAGGAAAAGUGACAUUUUUUGCGGGGAACGCAGUUCUUUACUUGUUGUUUGGGGGUCCAAAGGACCACCAUAACUGGAGUGUUAAAUUGGAUUAGCUGGGAAAAAGUGAAAGGGGGAGAGAAAGGGGUUUAAACGUUCUAUAUAAGUAACUACACAGACAAAGGUUAUGUCUUUAAUAGCUGAGCCAUAAUUAAAUUUUUAAUCCAUCAACUACCACAAAUCAAGUGAGCAGAAGAUAGAGAAAUUGAGCAAAAUGUCCAUAAUGCUAUGGGAUUCCUUUGUACUCCCAUUUAAAAAUUACCUUCUGGGACUAGAUAUUCCGUGUAUAAGACUCUCCCCAUGAAUAAGAUGACCCCUAUUUUGUGAGCCCAAAAUUAAGAAAUAAAUAUUUUAAACAUAAAAUAGAACAACUUUGAUAUUUUAGAGGUGACUUCUGAGGAGAACAACACACGUCUGAUUCUCAUGCCUCCCCCGUGCUACAGUACCCACAAUACAGCAGGUGGUGUGAGGGCAUGUCGGGACAUCACAGUAGUAUUCACUCUGAUCCCCAUUCCCCCUCAUAAAUAUAAAUCAGAAAGCAAAACCUACCUUAGAUGGAGCAAACUUUAAUAUGGCUGCUCCUAUUAUGGUGUGGCAUGUCUCUGGAGCUCCAUUGGUGGUAAGUGCUGAUGUCUGCUACAGCUCUCACACAUAUAGGGACCUCUUUCUCCCUGCCACAGCAUUCAGAAGUGGUUCGUCAGGAGGGAAGCCAGGUGUGUGUGUGGGCCGUGGCAUACUGAAACGCGACAGGCCACCUCUUGGCUUAAGCCCCACGCACAAGUGUUUGUUUUUUAACCCCUGCAGUGACAUUCCGUGUAUAAGGUGACCCCCAAUUUUAGAGUUAAAAAAAAAUGUAGAAAAACAAAUAGUCUUAUACAUGGAAAAAUACGGUAGAUUGAGAAGCUGUGGCUGCUCGUCUACUAUACCAGGGCUAGGCAACCUUCUGCACUCUACAUGUUGUUUAAGAAAUCUCCCGUAAUAUUCUUUCAGCCAUAACAGUGGCAAAGCAUUAGGGGAGUUAUAGUACACAAAAUCUGAGGUGCCAAAUGUUGCUUACUCCUGUGCAACUAUUAACCCAUCACAAACCACCCGUGGAGAAUAAACUAUUGAGCUGGUAUUUCUCACAGUUUUAUUAAUUCUUCUAAACCGUACAAUUCAAGUGUAUAUAUCCCAUAACCAAAUGGGUAGGAUAAGGAGUGGGUGGAAUACUAUAUGGACUUUUAUUCCCGUGUUAAGUAUCCUUGAUUUAGCUGUGGCUGUGCUAAAACCCUAAAGCUUUGGAACUCCUGGUCCAUAUUAACCCCUCGUGUAACACAUUAUUGCUUUCUUUAUAGAGUUACCUAAAUCGGUAUGGCUACCUGGUCUCAGAGCAUGGGUCUGAUGCCCGCAUCACCCUGCAGAAGGCUCUUCGCAAAAUGCAGCAGAAGCUGGGAUUGCAAGAGACAGGAGAUCUUAAUCAAGAAACAAUAGCUGCCAUGCAAGCCCCUCGUUGUGGAGUGCCAGAUGUAGGUCGGUACAACACAUUUGAGGGUGAUUUAAAGUGGGAUCAUGAUGAAAUCACAUACACGUAAGUAUAUUAGUUGAAAUUACAUUGAUUUUUAGAUCUCUCCUUUAUUGCAUAUUAUCAGCUUGUAAAAUAAAAGCAACAAGAAAAAUAUAUAUAAAAUAUUGAUUUGAAUGUGUGCACCUGUAUUUACCUUUUAUAUUGACAUAUCCUCCUGCCUUGAGUGAUUUAAAUGUAGGAAAGAGAAACCCAAUAUAGAUUGUGUAGAUAAACCUUGUACGUGAUGAGACUCAUAAUCUAGGAGACUUUCACAUUUGUAAACAAAUCACUUCUACAAUUUUACAAUAAACCUUUAAAUGCUCUCCUGAUCUAUUUGUCACCCAGUAUCCUGAACUACUCUCCUGAUUUGGACCGUGAAGUCAUAGACGAUGCCUUUUCUCGUGCCUUCAACGUCUGGAGCGAAGUGACUCCUCUUACAUUUAAACGAAUAUACGAAGGAGUACCUGAUAUUGACAUCCUAUUUGGAUCUGACAGUAAGUAGACAUACCGAUAAAGUUAUUGUAAAACAAUCUGUAGCUUGAUUUGUGAUUUUCAAUGAGUCUUAUCUGUACGUUAAAGUGUGUUCUUCACAAGCCCACAACAGUCUUAAAAUGACUCUGUUCCCACCUUAGAGAAGACAAACGUAAAAAUCCCAUAAAACAUUGAGAACCCACAUGAGAACCCACAUUAUAACCUCUUCGUGAGAACUAUCCAUUCAAUUGCUCACUAGGGCUAUAAGCAGAAAUAAAAUUGGACAUGAUGUUUGACUUUAUGUUGUAUUUGCUUCUAAUAUCAUCGAUCUAAUCUACCUAUCCGAUAGGCUAGCUUGUUGCAGAUGUGUUGAAUGAAUGCACUUGAAAUUCGGGUUGAUCUAUUAACUAAAAUCUAGCUAAAUUGAAUUGCAUUUCACGCAAAGAAUUGCUGCAAAAAUAAGUUAAAAGAGCCAACAUGGAAAAACAAAUCUGCAGUUCACCCAGUAACAUGAGAUAUGUUUUCAACCUUAGUUGGAGAAGUUAGUUGUCAUUGACCUAGAACAUAAUGCUGUGACAGCUUGUGCGAAGUGAAAAGACAUCAUUGUAUAUUCCUUCAUCCUUCUCUUGAACAGAUCAUGGAGACCCCUACCCAUUUGAUGGCACGAAUGGACUCUUGGCUCAUGCAUACCCUCCUGGUAGUGGCGUGCAGGGGGAUGCACACUUUGAUGAUGAUGAGUUCUGGACACUUGGCACCGGAAUUGGUAAGAAUUAGCUCAUAACAUAGUAACCGUUAUUUAGUAACAUGGUAACGUAGGCUGGAAAAAAGAUUCACAUAUUAAAACCCGUUUUCCUGGCACUAUAGGCUCCUGCAGUGCCCCCCUUCCGCAGUGCUGAAGGGGUUAACAACCCCUCUAGUCACUUGUUUGAAUCCAGUGCCAAUGUCCAUCGGCGCUGAGUCAGGCUCUGCCCACGCUCCUCUUCAGCCGGCGGGAAAAACCUAAUGCAUAUGCGCGACAAUGGCUGCAGUCACAUUCAGAUUUUCCCAUAGGAAAGCAUUGUUCAAUGCUUUCCUAUGGGGAAAAAUCUGAUGCUGGAGGUCCUCAUGCAGAGUGUCUGUCUGGAAGACAGCCACUAGAAGAGGAGGUAACCCUUUAGAGGUAAUUAUUGCAGUUUCUCAGAAACUGCAAUAAUUACCUCUAUAGAGUUAAGGGACAUGGGACAUUGCACCUUGACCACUUCAAUGAGCUGAAGUGGUCCCUUUAAGGACCAAGGCUUUUUUCGGAUUCUAUGCAUUUGUGACCAAGGCUUGUUUUUUACAGAAUAAAUGCAUGGCAAAAGUAACAAUGUCCCUUUUUCUGUUUAAGUGCGCCCAUAUUAUAUAUAAUUUUGAUAUCCUAUAUGUAUAUAUAACACAAUAUUAAAUAGGAAUAAAAAAGAAAAACUUUUUUUUUUAAUUUUACAUUUCAUAGUUUUUACACAUCAAGUGCAACUAAAGAAAACCAACUCAAACGAGAUUGACUAAUUGGUCCUGAUUGUUAAAAUACCCAAUAUGUCUAGGAUUUCAUUUCAUCUUUAGAAGUUAUAAAACAAAUAUUGCAAUUAGUGAAUUUUUUUAAAGCUAAAACUUUGCAACAUUUGGCAUGCUGAGAUUACAACUUUAAUUGCUGUCACAGAAUCCAAAACUGUUACACAAAAGUAUAGAUUUGUAGAAAGUAUAUACCACAAGCUGUGUAACUAAGAGCAAUUUGACACUUUUGAUUUAACCAUUUUAUCACAAAUUUAAGUGGAAUUAGUUAAUUCACAUAAUACGUAUCCUUCUUCUGCAAACACCUCAUAUUUCUACUCUGCUACUGUUGUCGAGUAAAAUGAUACCCCACAUUUAUUUACUUUCACUUAAUCCUACCCCCAAUCUUGUUCCAACCCACAAUCCUACACAUAAUCUAAUCCCUUUUUCUUACAUUUAAUCCCACACCCUAAUCCUACCCCCAGUCCUGGAUCUAAGGGAUUCCCUCUGCUAAUGUCAGUACUGACAUCAGCAGAGGGAUUUCCUAGUUCACACAGUACAGUGGACUCUUUUGCAGCAUGAGAGGAUGAGCUUUCUCCUUCAACACACAGAGAUCGGUACUAGGCAGCUGGCAAAGCCCAGCACCAAUCAUUGGGCUAAGGAUUGGUGAACUUUGGGGGUCUUUCUCAUAGUAGGGGGACAGUGCCAAGCCAUGGGAAUACCUAUUUAAUUUUUCAUAUUCAAAAUUACCUAGUUUAAAUCAAUUUAAAGAGUUAUGUGCUGCGUUCACCAUGAGCGCUGCACUUUGUCAGUCUGGGGCCACUAAUUGUAUUAAAAGAAACCUGGGGAUUCCUGAUUUUCUUAAGGCAGCAGGCUGGGGCAGUGAUAGAAAUACCACAGCGGAGUGAGAUCGCUCACCUGCGGUAUUUAAAGGGCUAUGUGCAGCACCUUUGAGUGCUGUACCUAGCUUAUUGCUAACUGUGGCCCCAGCUGACAGAGGACCUUCAGGUAUCGCACUAUACCUUGGGAGUCCUUGGUAUCCUUGGCACCAGAAGGGAUUUAACUCCUACUGGUAGUUUUACUGCAUGAUGGUCUACGCCGUCACAGGGCGUUAAAGACCUGCAUGCGUUCGUAAAUGGUUAAGGUAUAUUUUUUUUUAAAUGGUACAACAGAACCAAAACAACAAAUAGAAAUUCAGAUUAGCCAAGUGCAAAAGCAAGAAUUAAAUAAAAUAGCUCCUCUAACAUUUAACUAUUUCAAACUUGCCCUUCUUUCGAAUACAUCUUUUUAUUAUGUAAACCUGACAAUCUACAUAACACUGUACACAUUUUCAUUAUGUAAGAUUUAGAAUAAAAAAUUUGAUGCCCGGGGUCUGAGAAACAAAGCCUUCCAGAGAGGAUGGCAUGGGUAUUUAACUAGGCUUUCCUGUUCUAAAUUCACUGUCACAGAGCGUUAACCAACAGAGAUUAUCCCUUUCUAUACAUAACUGUAAUCUGUCUCUCUCACGAGGAGCUAAGUAACAAUUGUCCCCUAUCCAAUAUUCAUUGUAGAAGGACCGUUUCUUGGUAAGAUAUAUCUGCUUAAAAAUUACCCUUCACUAUCAGAGUUAACCAUACAAGGCAGUCUAGGAUCUGAUUAACCCCUUAAGGACCAAACUUCUGGAAUAAAAGGGAAUCAUGACAUGUCACACGUCAUGUGUCCUUAAGGGGUUAAAAGCUGUUGAACAAUAUGCAAUGACCUCUUUCUUUGUGUAUCUAUGUAAGACACCUUUCACUUGUUUCAAAUAUAGCUGUUUUAUCAGCAUUCCAUCAGUGUGUCAAAUGCUGUUUAGUAAGAGUAGUGGGAAAUUUUUUAGGGUCCUUAAUGUAUUUUACAAUGCAGGUCAUUUCAAGUUUAGAAGAUUACAGACUUAGUUCUCCAUUCUUUGAAAGGGAUACUCUACUGCCCAAAUAAAGUCACUAUUCUGCAGAUACACCCCAAAUAAAACAUGCAUAAGUUAAUUGUGCAUUUUUUCAUUGGAGUUAUAUGUAAAAGAUGCAGAUCUUUUGUCUGGAGCCCUUCUAACCCAGCACAUACUUUCUGUGUCUGUCUAAUCACAGGUUUCCCAAUGCAGCUCAAGUAUUUGCAAGGCAAGUGCUCUGAGCAAUUGUUGCCUCUUGAGUUUAGCUCCACCGAGCUAAAACAAAACUAGGAAGUAACAGGACUGAUUGUCUGAUUGCCAGCCAGGUGGGUGUAACAAGGUAAUUUUAAAAAGUGCCGAUUUCUAUUGAGAUCAACACUUUUUGUAAAAAAAAAAAAAAAAAAAAGGGCACACUAUUCACACAUAAAGCACUAGCAAGAGCUUUAGAGGUCUGGAGUGUCCCUUUAGGUAAAUGUGACCUCUUUCUUAAACAUACCACUGUUAUUUUAAGAGCGGUCUCUUCCUGUAUUCCGUUAACAGAUUGGCCUGUAGCUCACUACAAUAUUUUGUCCCAUAAAGACAGUGAGCAGAACAAGAUUAUUUUUUUUAAUUAAUUUCCCCCUAAAAUAUUACUGCUUCUAAUGUAUAGCAUUUAAAGACACACCCUGCUUCUGUUAUAUAAAGACAUUUUGAGUGGUCUCAUUCUGAGAUAUUGAUACAGAUGGUCUAUGCUGCACCUUUAUAACAAUGUACAUAUUCAUUAUUUCAUACUCCCUUGAUCAGCCUGCAAUUUGUUCAGUUUUAACAGCAGUUGUAGAGUGACCUUUUCUUACCAGGUCCACCUAAAGCUAUAGCAGCUCCCAAACCACUAUCUAUAUAUUAAUCCAUUAUAGGGUUUUGGAGUUCAGAAUUUCUGACAACCCGCUGAUCAGACAAACCUCAAGUUGUUUGAAGUCAAUUGCAAAAGUGUAAUACGUAGCUGCUUUGGUAGCCAUAUCCGUCGGUGUGUAGGUAUCCGUAGGUGGGAGAGUGCUAUAACACCCACCUUCCAUUGCUGCCACCUUCACCAAGCAGGAUAAUAAUCACUGCAUCUGAGACAUGUUGGAAACAAGUGAACCACCUAGGGAAUGGAUCUCUUGCUCCCCCUGUAGUCAUUCCUCAGCAUUACACCCUGUGUACAAAGGAUUUGAUUGACAGGUGGGGAGGGGUUAUAUGGCUGUUAUCUUGCCAAGAGUGUCCUGGUGCCCCUCUUAUGUAAUAAGUAAAUAUUUUGCUGAUGUUUUGACAACGUACCUGUUUUCUUCCCAGUGCCAUUUAUCUCCUUCAUGAGAGUUGGAAGUUAAACCUGGGGGUGCAGUAUCACAGACAAUUUAUUUGUAACACAUGGUUAAUUUUUAUGUUUCACCAAUUCAGUGUGUCAUUAAACCAAAGUAAGGCAACAGUUUAUCAAGGAGACACCAAAAGUUGUAACAAAACAUAUUUUGUUUACCAUUAGGGAGGUUGCUAGGUCUAGACAAUAAAAAGUCCCCAGGGGUAUGGUGUAAUAGGGUGGUGGAAAGCUCGAGUUCCAACGGAAGCAAGUUUAACCUAGACAAAUUUAGCCCACCAUAAAUUAAAGAGACGUUUUGUCUUAUACGUAUUUAUUGUUUUUUUUAUUUAUUUUGUUUUGGGGGGGAUAAUUAAGUUGCCUUAUGCCUAUCCCACGCAUACUUAAGCUCCUUUACUGUGUUAACCUCUACCACUUCAGCUGGAAGGCAAUUCCAUGCAUCCACUACCCUCUCAAUAAAGUAAUACUUCCUGAUACUAUUUUUAAACCUUUACCCCUCUAAUUUAAGACUGUCCUCUUGUUCUGGUAGUUUAUCUUCUUUUAAAUAUAGUCUCCUCCUUUACUGUGUUGAUUCCCUUUAUGUAUUUAAAUGUUUCUAUAAUAUCCCCCCUGUCUCGUCUUUCCUCCAAGCUAUACAUGUUAAGUUCCUUUAACCUUUCCUGGUAAGUUUUAUCCCGCAAUCCAUGAACCAGUUUAGCAGCCCUUCUCUGAACUCUCUCUAAAGUAUCAAUAUCCUUCUGAAGAUACGGUCUCCAGUACUGCGUACAAUACUCCAAGUGAGGUCUAAACAGUGCUCUGUACAAUGGCAUAAGCACUUAUUUCUACUGCUAAUACCUCUCCCUAUACAACCAAGCAUUCUGCUAGCAUUUCUUGCUGCUCUAUUACAUUGUCUACCUACCUUUAAGUCAUCACAAAUAAUUACCCCUAAAUCCCUUUCCUAAAUUCCUUUAAUAUAACCAAGUAAACCAGUUAACUCCUGGGUAUCAUUUGGACACUUGAGUAGAGAUCCUAUUGCCUCAUCAAAAUGUUGCUUAGAAUUAUAAGACCUGAUCUGACUGCUCACCUUAUUAGAUGCUCUUUUGCAGUAGCAGUUGAAUAAAAACACAUUCAUCAUCUUUGAGCUGAUUAAAAUCUUGUGACCUCCAGUAAAGGGUGAAAAUUGUAUUUUUAAAAUGUAAAUUAGGUGACAUUAAAAUAUAUAGCAAAAAGGCAGUGUUGGUAGGAUAUCUAGAUGUGAUACAAAGUCACCAAUUCCACGCUUGGGUUCAGACAUUAUUUAUUGCCUGUAAAUAAAUCCAAUGAUUAUUGGGAGAAUAGCAAAACAAUUCUACACAAGGGGCAUUCCCUCACACACUUUGAUACAUGAAUAAAUAUUCACAGCUAACAAUAAAUUACGUAAUUGACUAAUACGAUAUAAGUAAUUUGCAAUUAUGUAACAUCCUCUAAAAAAAACGCUAUUUGUUGCUCCAUGUGAAUAUCCUAAAUAUCAUAUUCCCUUAAUUUCUCCCUAUAGACUUUGUUAGAAAAAAAAAAAAAUUGCAGAUAUUUAACAUUCACAUACUGCAUUCUAAACACUCAGCAUUGUCCUUUCCACACUCUACUUCCCUAACAGGCUCCCAGGCAUUUUAACAUAGUCCUUGAAAGAUAUUCUAUUACGCUAAAAAUUGCCUUUCAUUCCGAACAUUAAGUUGAACGAGCAAAACAAUAUAGACGCCAUUUUGUAAUGUUUUAAAAUUGGCAUCCAUUUUUGGCUACUUUCACAGAUGAAUUGGUUAAAUAAAUAUGGUGAACUAGAGGUUAUCUAGGGCAUGCAGUCAUAUCCUAAUUUACUAAAGGCACACUGAAUCUCAUUUUCUACCAUAUGCAGUCCGUAACCACAUUGGUUUCCUUCAUUAUCCUCAGUUGUAAAAUCACAUUUUGGAAAUGCAAAUGGAGCUCUGUGCCACUUUCCAUUCAUAUUUGGGGGUCAAUCGUAUUCCAGUUGUACGACUGUCGGACGCUCUGACGGGAAUCUCUGGUGUAGUACCACACCCAACUUCGAUCAGGAUGGCAAAUAUGGCUUCUGUCCCAGCGAAUGCAAGUAUCUGAACACCAUUCAAGCAAUGUUUAACCUUAUACUUAUUCAGAAUUAUGUGGAAAUUCAAUAAAAAAAAUCUCUGUGUAAUACAAAGAAUGCCACCUAUUGGUACCUGGGUAACAAAGUGAUAAUUGUAAUUUCCCACAAACAAUAACACUUCCUAAAUUCAAAGAGAGAUCACAGGGACAGUCCAGGCUGGAAUUGGCCAUUCUACAAUAAUGCAUCUAAAAAUAUACAACAAUCAAUUCAAAAUAAUGUUUAAUAAAAAAACAAUUGACGAUGCUAAAUUUGCAAGAAAUCCCUAGGCUUUGCAAGCAGCGCGCACUGUGCAGACCAGGGAUCACCCAAUCAGGAUGCGUUAUUAACUUUCUCCUGCAAGUGCUCACUUAUCCCAUAAAUCUUAGCACAGCAGGGAUUCAUGGGAAGAACAAGGAAUAGUAGUUCAGUUUGUCUUCCUUCUGCUUAUGUUGAACUACAACUCCCAUAAAUCAUUGCUGCACUUGCUGAUGGCAGCUGUGUUAUUGGAGCAAACAAAAGGCAGGAACAAAAAUGGUGUCAUGUGGAAUGAUAGCUAUUCUUAUGAAUAAAAAAGACACUUAAAAAUAAUUAUUUUUUAAAAACCUACCUUAAGUAAUUGUAACCUAAUAUUGCACGUAAUGUGCCAGGAUUCCUUCUUUUAAUUAUUCCUUCAGAUAGCUAUUUAAUCUGUCUGGUUGCGUUUCCACAUUCUCUAAUAUUACCUUGUUGUAAUUUGAGGCAAAUGACUGUAAAUGCUAUAUGGGCUUCAGCUGUGACAUCAUAUACUACAGUAUAGUACAGUCUUAAUUAAAUGACAGAACUGCUUAAGCUGCAUCCUUUUCUGCCCUUCAGAAGAUGAUGUGUAGAAAAAAGGAAAAAGGGAUGCAGCUAAGAACUAAAAUAAAAAAGAAAGCAGACAACACAUAGUGAUGUACAGUUGGAUUAAAUAACACACUGCAAUAAUGGUUGCACUCACAAGAUUUAAAUGAGAUUUGCGCCUUGAAAUCCACUAAGGGAUAUUGCUGGACCGCGUCCACUGGAGGAUGGUGGAUAGUAAGCAGACCCAGAUGGCUCAGGAUACAAUCAGGAACCAGAUUUUGAAAAGAAGAGAUUUAUUUAGGCACAAUUGCCCAAUACAAUAUAAAAAAUUAAAAUAAAAUCUUUAUUUUUAAUUUUUAUAUUUUAUUGGGCAAUUGUGCCUAAAUUAACGUCUUCUUUUCAAAAUCUGGUUCCUGAUUGUAUCCUGAGUACAUUUUAUUCAUUUAUGUGAUACAUAAAUUUUUUUAUUUUUUUGUUUGUUUGUUACACUUCAGAAGAAGAACCAGAAUCCGUGCUUACUGUGCGUUUGUAUUUCCACAGUGCUUUUCACAUAUGGAGGGAACAGUAAUGGAGAGCCCUGUGUCUUUCCCUAUAUCUUCGAUGGAAAAUCCUAUUCUAGCUGUACCAAGGAAGGUCGUUCUGAUGGAUAUCGCUGGUGCAGUACUACUGCCAACUAUGACACAGAUAAGAAAUAUGGCUUCUGCCCUAAUAGAGGUAAUUCGUGUCCCAAGUACUUAUGGAAUUGCUCCACCGUGACAUAAGAUAAGAGAGACCAUGUCACACUCAACAUGGGUGAAUUUCUACUCACAAUGGAAUUUUCACUUGCCAAAAGCUGGUGGCGAGUGAAAAUUUUGAGUCCUGUGUGUGUGUAUAUUUAAGGUAGGUGUAAAUAUAGGCUAGCACUAUGUCAAGGUUUACACAUAAAGUGAUACUAAAGUAAUAUUGAUGUAAGAAAAUGAUUGUGGCAGUACUUAAGUUCUCUUCUCUUUCAGACACUGCUGUGAUUGGUGGAAACUCUCAGGGAGAUCCUUGUGUCUUCCCAUUUUCAUUUCAAGGAAAAACCUAUAAUUCAUGCACAAGUGAAGGUCGGGGGGAUGGGAGGUUGUGGUGCGCAACCACCUCUAGCUACGACACAGACAGCAAAUGGGGUUUCUGUCCUGAUCAAGGUUUGUUAAUAUUGCUUGCAAGGGUCAUUUUCUUAUAAACUGAUUUUGAAACCCUACCAUAGCAGAUAAAUACAGUUUACAUGUAAUCCAGACACUACUUUAAAUUUAAUAGCUUAGAUAUCCCCCUCUGUGAUAUGUGAAAAUAUCUGUUCACAUUUCCACCUAGUGUAUCUAGUUUAUAAGUGCAUGUCGCCCACCUACGCUAUACAGUAUAUUGAUGUUAUAUUAAUCUCUUUUCAUACAGGAUAUAGUCUUUUCCUUGUUGCUGCCCAUGAAUUUGGUCAUGCUUUAGGACUGGACCAUAGCAAUGUCCAAGAAGCUUUAAUGUACCCAAUGUACAGCUAUGUGAGUGAUUUUCAGCUUCACCCUGAUGAUGUGAAAGGGAUACAGUAUCUGUAUGGUGAGUAAAAGAGAUUUGGCACAAGCAGUUUUGUUUUGGUGGUCUUGGUGACCCGAUAUCAUAAAUACAGGGUAAAGUAAGAUGAUCGCACUGGACCAGUUAUUCAGAUAAUCUUUAUGGUAUAGAACGCCAAUGCAUUUUUUAAAACAAAUUUAUGACGCAGGAGUGUGGAAUUAUUUUUUUUUUUUAUUUACUUGUCAAAGGUACUAAAAGUAGCCCAAACUACUUGGUCUGUCAUGAUAAUCUACUUGUCCUGACACAAAAUAAUUUAAUUUAAAAAGAUUGGGGCCCUUGACACUGACAUGCUGAGUUUUCACAAAGUUAAUCUGAAAGGAGAAAUGGAGGCACAAAUAGCUAAUUUGGAAACAUUCUCUAACUCUGCUAUAGUCACAACAUGGCUAUUUAUGCCUCAGUUUUGCCAUUUGGAUUUAUUUUGCAAAAAUUCAGAGUCUUGCGAAACCUUCCCAUAGUGUCCACCUUUUGAUAGUGUGCAGUACAUGCUUACUGUUUGUCGUGCGGUGUGUGCUUGUUGUGUGUCGUAGGUGUGGUGGCUGUAUGUGUGGAGAUGACUGACUGUGCUUGUUGCAAGUGUGGUGGGUGCUAGCUGUAUGUCGUCUGUGGAGUGUCCUUUCUGCAUGUCGUGUGUGUUGUGUGCUGGAUGUCUGUUUGCUGACUGUGGGUGUGAUGUGUAUGUGCUGGUUGUAUGUGGUGUCUAGGUGCUGGUUGUAUGUGAUGUCUAGGUGCUGGUUGUAUGUGAUGUCUAGGUGCUGGUUGUAUGUGGUGUCUAGGUGCUGGUUGUAUGUGAUGUCUAGGUGCUGGUUGUAUGUGAUGUCUAGGUGCUGGUUGUAUGUGGUGUCUAGGUGCUGGUUGUAUGUGGUGUCUAGGUGCUGGUUGUAUGUGAUGUCUAGGUGCUGGUUGUAUGUGAUGUCUAGGUGCUGGUUGUAUGUGAUGUCUAGGUGCUGGUUGUAUGUGAUGUCUAGGUGCUGGUUGUAUGUGAUGUCUAGGUGCUGGUUGUAUGUGAUGUCUAGGUGCUGGUUGUAUGUGAUGUCUAGGUGCUGGUUGUAUGUGAUGUCUAGGUGCUGGUUGUAUGUGAUGUCUAGGUGCUGGUUGUAUGUGAUGUCUAGGUGCUGGUUGUAUGUGAUGUCUAGGUGCUGGUUGUAUGUGAUGUCUAGGUGCUGGUUGUAUGUGAUGUCUAGGUGCUGGUUGUAUGUGAUGUCUAGGUGCUGGUUGUAUGUGAUGUCUAGGUGCUGGUUGUAUGUGAUGUCUAGGUGCUGGUUGUAUGUGAUGUCUAGGUGCUGGUUGUAUGUGAUGUCUAGGUGCUGGUUGUAUGUGAUGUCUAGGUGCUGGUUGUAUGUGAUGUCUAGGUGCUGGUUGUAUGUGAUGUCUAGGUGCUGGUUGUAUGUGAUGUCUAGGUGCUGGUUGUAUGUGGUGUCUAGGUGCUGGUUGUAUGUGAUGUGUAGGUGCUGGUUGUAUGUUAUGUCUCGGUGCUGUUUGUAUGUGAUGUCUCGGUGCUGUUUGUAUGUGGUGUCUAGGUGCUGGUUGUAUGUGGUGUCUAGGUGCUGGUUGUAUGUGAUGUGUAGGUGCUGGUUGUAUGUGAUGUCUAGGUGCUGGUUGUAUGUGGUGUCUAGGUGCUGGUUGUAUGUGAUGUCUAGGUGCUGGUUGUAUGUGUGUCUAGGUGCUGGUUGUAUGUGAUGUCUAGGUGCUGGUUGUAUGUGAUGUCUCGGUGCUGUUGUAUGUGGUGUCUAGGUGCUGGUUGUAUGUGAUGUCUAGGUGCUGGUUGUAUGUGAUGUCUAGGUGCUGGUUGUAUGUGAUGUCUAGGUGCUGGUUGUAUGUGAUGUCUAGGUGCUGGUUGUAUGUGAUGUCUAGGUGCUGGUUGUAUGUGAUGUGCUGUUUGUAUGUGGUGUCUCGGUGCUGGUUGUAUGUGAUGUCUAGGUGCUGGUUGUAUGUGAUGUCUAGGUGCUGGUUGUAUGUGGUGUCUAGGUGCUGGUUGUAUGUGAUGUGUAGGUGUUGGUUGUAUGUGCUGGCUGUAUGUUAUGUUUGUGUGUUCUGGCAGCAUGUGAUGUGUGCUCAGAGCCGGUGCAAGUAUUUCUGCCGCCCUAGGCAAAGAUCCAUUUUGCUGCCCCCUCAUGUCCCUCACACAUACUCACUUGCAGUUAGACAUGCACAUUCACCUGCCACUGACACACAUACACACACAGACACUUACUGACAUACACACAGACACUUACUGACAGACAUACACAGACACUCACUGACAGACAUACAAUCACUGACAGACAGACAUACAAUCACUCACUGACAGACAGACAGACAGACAGACAUACACUCACUCACUGACAUACACGGGCAGACAAUCACUGACAGAUACACACACACAAUGACAGUCACACAUGCAGACACUCACUGAGAUACAUACUCAUUCACUCACUAACAGACACACACUCACUGGCAGUCAACCACUCACCUCCCUGGGGUCCAGUGUGGGGCAGCUCCUCACUCCUCCAGCCCGCUGUUUAGUAUGCCGGGGCUGGAAUUAUGUCAUAUUCCAGCUCCCAGCAUCACAGAGGGUGCGCAAGGGAAGAACAGCCUCCCUUGCCGCCUGCCUUUUCUGUCCCCCUUUCCUCCGGUUGCGCCGGCACCUGUGUGUACUGGUUGUAUGUGAUGCGUAUGUGCUGGCUGUAUGUGAUGUUUGUGUUUGCUAGUUGUAUGUGAUGUGUUUGGUGGCUGUGUGCUGGCUGUAUGUGCUAUGUGAGUCCUGGCUGCAUGUGAUGUGGUGUGUGUGUGUGUGUGCGCUUGCUGUAUGUGAUAUGUGUGUGUGUGUGGUGUGUGAUGGGUAAACCUAUAAUAACUCCAUGGGAUUUACCAGUUUCCCAAUCCAAAACAUAACUCCUUUUGGCAAAUCAAUGUAUUUUGAUUGUUAUCAUGCAACACAGUGUAAGAUACACAUAACUUGUGUCCUAUUCUAAAUUAAGCACAAAUUCCAGCGUUAAUAGAGUGAAAUUUCCCUUUACGAUAUGUUAAAAGCGAAGAAGAGACUGUCAGUGACGAUAGUCUUCCCUUUCUGUCUGGAUGGAAUUUAGCGCAUGUGCAGUGAUCACCCAGAAGAAUGCUUCUCUUAGGGAAACAAGAUUAAUGCUUCCCAAUGGAAGCACUUCUGCUUGAAUCAGGAAGGACGUCUGGCUGUCAGCUAUGUGAAUUAAUAAAAGUGUAGAUUUCUUACCUCUACAGCAUUCAUGCAAACAUUAGGGUUCUGGAGUGUCCUUUGGAUCUAUCCAGCUUUCUGCUGGAGAAUCAAACUAGGUAUUGAAGGCUGAGGAAGAAGAAAAUAUAUUUUUUAAAAAUCAGUAAGCAAAACGAAGAGAGAGGUAGCAUAUGGGAUAAAUUCUACACAUGUGUAGCAGGGAUAGGAGGCAGGUGAUCGUGCAUGUCUAACUGCAAGUCAUAUUAAACAGAAGUAUCCCCGCCAAUAAUUUGCAAAUUACACAAUUUGCGUUUCCAUGCACAGUUCCCAUAUUGCUGCUAAGCAGUCACAGCAGAAGGUGGUGCGGUAGAGAGUAACUGUUGCCUUUUCACCAGGUCCUAAGUCAGGUCCAGGUCCUAAGCCUCCAGUGCCUACUAAGAAGCCUUCAUCCACAUCAUCAUCCACCACCACCACCACCACCACGAGGAAUGACCCCAAGAACCCAACACAGAAUGUGUGCAAAGUACAAAGAUUUGAUGCCAUUGCAGAUCUGCAGGGAGAACUUCACUUCUUCAAGGAUGGGUAAGCAAAGGGUUUGACAAAAAAAACUACAAAAAAACAAACAAAACACAACAGGAUGUGGUUAACUACAUGGCAGAAAUUAAAACAAGCAGUUAGCUGUCCCUCAUCCUGAAAAUGUAGCACAUAUGUUGAAUAAAGACUCCAGGCAUCAUAACCACUACAACUUGCUGUAAUGGUUAUGAUGCCAGGCAGUAUCAGCUGGAUAAGUUUUAAGAUGAUGGGGUACCAGACUCCUCCCCAAGAAUUUUACUCAAACUCUUAACUCUGUAGCCACCAUGUUCACACCUUUGGAAUCUCUUCAGUUAACCUUAACGGUAGUCCCCAAACAAUACUCAGAGCUAUGUGCAAUGCAGAGAACAAUGCAGUACAGAGAAUAAUGCAAUACAACAAACAGAACUGCGUACAAUACAAAGUUUCCCAUACGAUAUACAGAGCCAGGUACAAUACAGAUAUACCAGUGCAAUACAAAUAACCCAGUAUAAUAGGGAUAUAUGAAUACAAUACACUGAGCUGAGCAUAAUACAGACAUAAUAAUAUUAAUAACACUAAUACAAUACAUAGAGCUGGGCACGUGUGAAAUUCACAGAACUGCAGAUGUAUGGGUAUUUGUGGUAGAAUACAUAGAUACCCAUACAUCAGGCAGAGAUGAGUACAAUACAGAGCUACAAUAAAAAGAACUGGGUACAAUAAGGAGAUAUUCAUAAUUAUCUUAUACAGCCAGGGUUAAUGGGGUAGAGUUAGGGAUAAAAUUAAAUGAAAAGGAACAGUUAUCGAUCACAAACUGGGCAACCGUACGCAAUGUCGGUGUGUUGUUGCAAAAACGAGUAAGGUGCCUUGAAUAUGCGGUGCAAUUUUGGGCACCGGUUUUAAAGAAGGAUAUUGUAGAACUAGAAAAAGUGCAGAGGCCAGCUACAAAACUAGCAAGGGGAAUGGAAAACAUUAGUUAUGAGCAGGGCCGGACUGGGAAUGAAAAGCAGCCCUGUAAAAAAAUUCUAUACCAGCCCCACAAUGCAUCACGCCAGCAUAGUGUGCAGAUAUGGAAGCGGGGAAAAAAAAACUUAAAAAUGUAUCAGUCAAUUUUCUUGAAAUAUUAAGAAAAGUUUGGUCAUUUGGACUGAAAUUGUGAAUGUAUGCUAUUGCACAGCAGUAAAAAAAAUUACGUUAUCUUCACUUUGUACUCUUCACUUUGACUGACAACUGGAUACAUUUCAGUCAAUGCCAAUUCAAUUCCCAUAGGAAAGCAUUGGGGGGGCUAUUUCACAUAUGUGGCAAAAUGCUGUGCUUCACCGCACCAUUUAGCAUCUUCUCAUAGAGAUGCAUUGCAUCAAUGCAUCUCUAUGGGGAGCGAUCAGCGCCUCCAUGCAGAGUGUGCAGCACUGGGCUAGGUAGCAGCUCUAGUGGCCGUCUGAGUGACUGUCACUAGAGAUGUGCCUAGGCAGCUAUGUAGAAAAAGGUAGCAUUUAUAGUGCUCAGCCUACAGGGACAGGCUAUAGACACCAGAACCACUACAUUAAACUGUAGUAGUUCUGGUGACUAUAGUGUGCCUUUAAUACGACAUCUUUCUCUCACCGGUCGACUGAGUUACAGGGAGAGCAGGAGACACAAGUGAGGAUGCAUUUUGUUUGUGUCUUUCUCCCCCAAGCCCCUUUCAUGUGUCUCUUGGCCCCAGCCCCAUUGUCUCUUUCUCCAUUUCCCCUGCCCUUCUGUGAGUGUCUUUCCGAGGCCCCAAGACAUCUAUGUGUAUCUAUCCCCACAGCUCCUCUGUGUGUCUCAUUCUCCCCUUUCCAAGUCCCUCUGUGUAUCUCAUGUUUGUCUUCCUCAGCUCCUCUGUGUGUCUCCUGUUCCCCCUUCCCAACCCCUCUGUCUCUUUCUCCCCACACACCUCCGUGGGUCUUUUUACUCCCCAGCCCCUCCAUGUGUCUCAUUCCACCCUCUUCAGUCUUACAUGUGUCCCAUUAGCCCCCAGCCCUCCAUGUUUCCUAUUAGCCCUCUCUCUGUCCAUUUAGCCCCCCCAGCCCUCCAUGUGUCCCACUAGCCCUCCUUGUGUUCAUAUACCCCCUCCCAGCCCUGUAUGUGUCUCAGUAGCACCCGUGUGUGUCACAUUAGCCCCCAAGCCCUCCAUGUGUCCUAUUAGCCCUCCCUUUCAGCCCUCCAUGUGUCCCUAUAGCCCCCUCCCAGCCCUCAAUGUGUCCCAAUAAGCCCCCUCCAAGUCCUCAAUGUGUCCCAAUAGGCCCCCUCUCAGCCCUCAAUGUGUCCCAAUAGGCCCCCUCUCAGCCCCCAUGUGUCCCGUUAACCCCCUCCCAGCCCUCCAUGUGUCUCUAUACCCCCUCCCAGCCCUUCAUGUGUCCUUUCCAGCCCUCCAUGUAUCUCAUUAGUUCCCCCCCCCAGCCCUCCAUGUGUCCCUAUACCCCCUUCCAACCCUCCAGGUGUUCCUAUACCCUCUUCCCAGCCCUCCAUGUGUCCUUUCCAGCCCUCCAUGUAUUUUUAUAUCCCCCUCCCAGCCCUCAAUGUGUCCCAUUAGUUUCCCCCAGUUCUCCCUUUCUCCCAUUAGUUCCCCAGCCCCCAUGUGUCCCAUUAGUUCCCAGCCCCAUGUGUCCCAUUAGUUCCCAGACCCCAUGUGUCCCACUAGUUCCCAGCCCCCAUGUGUCCCAUUAGUUCCCAGCCCCCAUGUGUCCCAUUAGUUCCCAGCCCCCAGGUGUCCCAUUAGUUCCCAGCCCCCAGGUGUCCCAUUAGUUCCCAUCCCUCCAUGUGUCUCUAUACCCCCUUCCAACCCUCCAGGUGUCCCUAUACCCCCUUCCCAGCCCUCCAUGUGUCCCUAUACCCCCUUCCCAGCCCUCCAUGUGUCCUUCCCAGCCCUCCAUGUAUUUUUAUAUCCCCCUCCCAGCCCUCAAUGUGUCCCAUUAGUCGUCCCCCCAGCUCUCCCUGUGUCUCAUUAGUUUCCCCCAGUUCUCCCUUUCUCCCAUUAGUUCCCCCCCCAGCCCCCAUGUGUCCCAUUAGUUCCCAGCCCCCAUGUGUCCCAUUAGUUCCCAGCCCCCAGGUGUCCCAUUAGUUCCCAGCCCCCAGGUGUCCCAUUAGUUGUAGCUGUAGCAUGGCUGAGCAGGCAGACCGUGGUGGAGGAGCUCCUGCUCACUGUACCCGGUCUGACAGGAAUCAGUCGUGCUCUCUGUGAGCACUUCCUGUUAGACCGGGUAGGGGAACAGGAGCUCCUCUGCCACGGUCUGCCUGCUUGGCCACGCUACAUUCUGUGACUGGCAGGAGGGGAGAGCAGCCCCUCCUGCUGGUCACCCUGUAAUUGUGCCUUGCGGUGCGGCCCGCGGGCUGGUGCACACUAGGCAGCCACACACUGGCCCGCUAGUAUGCUGGCCCACCUGGAAAUUUCCCGGUGUCCCGGUAGGCCAGCCUGGCCCUGGUUAUAAGGAAAGGCUAGAAAAACAAGAAUUGUUUUCUUUAGCAAAACGACACCUCAAAAAGCACAGUUGUACUCAAAAGUUGGCAUGUUAAUUCUUGCAGGUGGUAUAGCUGCUUAUUUGUCUUGGUAAUGCCUCCAGGUCAUGCAAAGUCUUUUGUUGUCUUGCAUGAACCACACGUUUGAGAUCUCCCCAGAAUGACUUGAUGAUAUUAAGGUCAGGAGACUGUAAUGGCCACUCCAAAAAAACUUCAUCUUUUUCUUCUGUAACCACUGGAGCGUCAACUUGGCCUUGUGCUUAGGGUCACUAUCAUGCUGGAAAGUCCAAGAGUGUCCCAUGCGCAACCUUUGUGCAGAAGAAUGCAAAUUGUCUGCUAGUAUUUUCUGAUACCAACGAAAGUUCCUUCUUAGGUGGGGAAUUGAGCCAGCAGGACCCGAGACAAGAAGUCAAACUGUUUGAAAACAGUUUGACUGGUUACAGUGCGGGGGUCCAGGGCUCUCUUGGCAACAUAUUCACUACAGCAAACCAAUAAAGUGGUUAUGGUACAAAACAAACAAAACAGGUUGCGCUUGUGUGUAUUAAAGGACCACUAUAGUGCCCUGAGGGUGCCCCCACCCUCAGGGACCCCCUCCCGCCCGGCUCUGGAAGGGGGAAAGGGGUUAAAACUUACCUUUUUCCAGCGCUGGGCGGAGAGCUCUCCGCCUCCGUUACGCCCCGCCGGCUGAAUGCGCACGCGCGGCAAGAGCUGCGCGCGCAUUCAGCCGGUCUCAUAGGAAAGCAUUUACCACGCCACCUAUGGACGGUGGCGUGCUCUCACUGUGAUUUUCACAGUGAGAAGCACGCAAGCGCCUCUAGUGGCUGUCAAUGAGACAGCCACUAGAGGAUUAGGGGGAAGGCUUAACCCAUUCAUAAUUAUAGCAGUUUCUCUGAAACUGCUAUAAUUAUGAAAAAAAUGGGUUAACCCUAGAAGGACCUGGCACCCAGACCACUUCAUUAAGCUGAAGUGGUCUGGGUGCCUAGAGUGGUCCUUUAAGUCCAAUAAAACAAUUCUUUGAAAUAUCCUGGCUUGGAAUCGUCCAGGUUUCAGUAUAUGUAACAAAACAGAAAAUAAACAGAUAGUAGUACAGAUAGUCAAAUACUUUGUGUUGGACACACAACAAGGAUAUGUGGGAUCACACUCACAUUUGUUCGAGCUAUAGACCAACUCUGAGUAAAACAGCGGUAUAUUCCCCACUGAUGGAUCUGUAGCUCCUUAAAAGGUAAGUCUCACAGCAUCCAGAUGAAUAUAAAAAGCAAACAAUAGUGCCUACCAAGUAAAACAAAAAACAAGUAAAAAUAUAAAUGGUAAUUUACUCACAUUUAGUAGAGCAGUAACACUACUCAAGAGAGAGUGCUUGCGUGAUAUGAUCCUCACCAAGGAUAUAAUGUUAACUAGAUUCUCCUGAAGGCAAUUUUUGCCAGGGAUUGGAUGUAGAGUAGAUACUUCAGGAGUUUUAAAUGUGCCAGGAACAAUUCAAAUAAUAUAAAGUAUAAUUAAUGGUCUUGCACUAUAAAAUAGGUGUAAGCAAAAUAAACUUUAAUGUUUGAAAACAAUAUUAAAACACAUGUAAUGUGUUUCGCCAAACAAUGGGCUUUUUCAAGUGUACACGUAUUUGCUGUAUAGUGGUUAUGGUGCCUGGAGUUUUCCUUUAAAGGGUGAAGUCAACCUGUCGACUUUCUUGUUAACAAACUCCAACAUUUUAUUUUACAGACUGUAUUGGAAACAGCCUGCCCGUCAGGGUAUUCCUAAAUCUCCACUCCGCAUCAUGGAUACAUGGCCUGCCCUGCCUGCCAAUAUCGACACUGCGUUUCAGGACCUUACAAGCAGGAAUAUCUACUUUUUUGCUGGUAGUUACAUUUCAGUCUCAUUAGAAUACUAUAUAUGACAUAAACAUGUGGCACAUGUCAAAAACCUGCUCUGUUGUUCCAAGAAAACAAAAUUACUUGAAAUGAAAAUAUUUGUUGCAAUUUAGUUUGCCUAGUUAGAUCCAAAACAGAUCGAAACAUAGAAUGUGACGGCAGAUAAGAACCAUUCGGCCCAUCUAGUCUGCCCAAUUUUCUAAAUACUUUCAUUAGUCCCUGGCCUUAUCUUAUAGUUAGGAUAGCCUUAUGCCUAUCCCACGCAUGCUUAAACUCCUUUACUGUGUUACCCUCUACCACUUCAGCUGGAAGGCUAUUCCAUGCAUCCACUACCCUCUCAAUAAAGUAAUACUUCCUGAUAUUAUUUUUAAACCUUUGUCCCUCUAAUUUAAGACUAUGUCCUCUUGUCGUGGUAGUUUUUCUUCUUUUAAAUAUAGUCUCCUCCUUUACUGUGUUGAUUCCCUUUAUAUAUUUAAAUGUUUCUAUCAUAUCCCCCCUGUCUCGUCUUUCCUCCAAGCUAUACAUGUUAAGAUCCUUUAACCUUUCCUGGUAUGUUUUAUCCUGCAAUCCAUGAACCAGUUUAGUAGCCCUUCUCUGAACUCUCUCUAAAGUAUCAAUAUCCUUCUGGAGAUACGGUCUCCAGUACUGUGUACAAUACUCCAAGUGAGGUCUCACCAGUGUUCUGUACAAUGGCAUGAGCACUUCCCUCUUUCUACUGCUAAUACCUCUCCCUAUACAACCAAGCAUUCUGCUAGCAUUUCCUGCUGCUCUAUUACAUUGUCUGCCUACCUUUAAGUCAUCAGAAAUAAUCACCCCUAAAUCCCUUUCCUCAGAUGUUGAGGUUAGGACUCUGUCAAAUAUUCUGUACUCUGCCCUUGGGUUUUUACAUCCAAGAUGCAUUAUCUUGCACUUAUCCACAUUAAAUGUCAGUUGCCACAACUCUGACCAUUUUUCUAGUUUACCUAAAUCAUUUGCCAUUUGGCUUAUCCCUCCUGGAACAUCAACCCUGUUACAUAUCUUAGUAUCAUCAGCAAAAAGACAUCCCUUACCAUCAAGACCUUCUGCAAUAUCACUAAUAAAAAUAUUAAAGAGAAUGGGUCCAAGUACAGAUCCCAGAGGUACCCCACUGGUGACAAGUCCAAGCUUCGAAUAUAUUCCAUUAACUACAACCCUCUGUUGCCUGUCACUCAGCCACUGCCUUACCCAUUCAACAAUAUUGGAAUCCAAACUUAAAUAUUUAUUGAUAAGCCUUCUAUGUGCAACAUAGUCAAAAGCCUUACUGAAAUCUAGGUAAGCAAUGUCUACUGCACCACCCUGAUCUAUUAUUUUAGUUACCCAAUCAAAAAAACCAAUAAGAUUAGUUUGGCAUGAUCUCCCUGAAGUAAACCCAUGUUGUCUCUGAUCUUGAAAUUCAUGUGUUUUUAGAUGUUCAACAAUCCUAUAUAUAUAUAUAUAUAUAUAUAUAUAUAUAGUUCAUUCUGAGAGCAUCUUCUGUGUGUGUUAGCUGCUAAGUUGGAUUUAGCAGUUUAAUAAGAUAUAUAUACCUUCUUGCAGGACGCAGAUUCUGGCAAUAUACCGGUAACAAUGUGCUGGGCCCACUCAGUAUCGAAACACUGGGUUUGGGAAAAGAUGUCCAGGCUAUCGUGGGAGCCAUUCCCAGAAAUAAUGGAAAGGUGCUGUUAUUUAACAGGGAGAAGUUUUGGAGGUGAGUAGAGAACAAACGGCACUCGAUAAUAAUCACGUCUAGUGAAUUAUGGAAACCGACCGUUUAUAUGGAAACCGACCGUUUAUAGCGCAGCUGGAGGUUGUAUUACAGAAAUUAGAGCCCCUAUAGUCAGCAGGUUGGCGGAGAAGGAUUUAUUGUUCUGCAGGAGAGCAUUUAGAGAUUAAAGGGGAACCAUUUCCUCCCAGGAUAUUUAAUGUUAUGCUAGGAUAUAGUAAUUUUGUACACUAUGUGGUUCUGCUAUUAUCUUUUUCACCCUCUUAACAGACUUGAUACAAAGACACAAACUGUGGACAAGGGGUACCCAAGAAAUACAGAUGAAGAAUUCCCUGGUGUUCCGGUUGAAUCCCAUGAUGUUUUCCUAUAUCAAGGUAAAUGGACAUAGCUAAUAAUAAGCAGCAACAAUGCUUUUACUGUGCAAGCAUAGCCCUCUGGAUGGUACCAUGAGUUCAUCAAAGGAUGCCAGGUAGUGAUGCCUGAAUUCUCCAGCCAUUAAAUAAUCAAUAACAUGUAUUGAGUAGAAACCAUAUAUUCAGGGUUAUUCACAAAAUUGAAUUUCAAAGUAGUAAUCACCCUGUUUCUCAUUUAUAAACAUAUAUGACUCUCUCUUCAUACAUUCAUACCAAUAUGGUAAUCAGGAGGGCAUGAUAUCAGCACUGAGAAUUUCAGUCAAUUCCUGCUUUUGUUUUACUAAAUGUAUCCGAUGUAUAGAAUGUUUCAUGUGCUGUCUUCCUUCGCAUUCUUUUUGAAGGUAGCAAGUAUGGCACUGUUCUUUACUACUUUUGUAUACCAGUUUUACUGAAUGUUUAUACCUCUUUGUGUUACAACAUGAUGUAAGAGUUAUAAAUAAAUAAUAAAAACCUCUACGUCCGCUGUAGUGGUUAUGGUUUCCGACAGUGCCUGGUGACAUCCCACUGACAUUUGUCAAACCACUUUAGAGUGGUUUAACAACCUACCUUGGUGCCCGUGGCUGCAGCCCCUGUUUCUGGGAUACUCUUACAAGAGCCCAACAUAAUUAAGCUGGGUCCUGCUUCAAAGCAUCCAUUAGCGGAGAUCGCCAACUGAGCUUUCUCUGCAAAUGAGUGCGAUCGUGUAUCAGCGGUGUAUAAGUAAAUGGAGUCCUCUUGCUUCUCCUGCAGGAGAACCACAAAUGAGGCCAAGGACACCUGGGAAGCCAAGUAAAUAGUCGAACCCCAUUUUAAAACGGUUUGACAAAUUACACUUGUCGCAAGGACCCAUUGUUGUGGUUAUGGUGUUUGGAGUGUUCAUUGAAGGGUUUAUUUUUUUUAAAUUCUUUAUUUUAAUUGACCAUGGAGUUCAAGGGUUUAUUUUUAAUGUAAUUAUUGUAUUUUCUGUGUUCUUGCAGGUAAAUUUCACUUCUGCCAGGAGCAAUAUUUCUGGCGCAUGACAUCACGCAAGCAAGUAGACAAAGUUGGAUAUGUUAGUCAUGACAUCCUGCGCUGCCCCGAGAACUAAAGGAGAGGGGUGUGAACAAAGGCUGGUGGUGAAGGUGUACGAUAGGUGACAACAUCAGAAUAGGAAUCAUCACAGUAUUUAGGUUGGACAGUAAUGUGAGAAAUGUGCGGGACCAACUCCCACCUUUUCACGGCCACCCCACUUACAAUUACAAUGAGCUUAGAAUUAUCUGUGUAAAGGUGAAUUCUUAAUUUUGUUAAGCUGUAUAGAUGUGUGCUAUGUGUGUUUGUGUGUAAAUACAGCGUUUACCUCCUGUGCUGGCUGCUUCAUAGUAUAUAAGUGAUUGUGAAUUGCUGUGCUCACAAAAUGAGCAAUAUUUGAGCUUUACCGAACUUUAUAUGGCAUAUUGGGUUGUUUGUUUUCUAAUAAAGAUCAAGUUACUUUUUAUAACAGUGUUUUAUUUUUUUAUU
rnacentral:lncRNA from 1 species